UACGUAGGGUGCGAGCGUUAAUCGGAAUUACUGGGCGUAAAGCGUGCGCAGGCGGUUUUGUAAGCCAGAUGUGAAAUCCCCGGGCUUAACCUGGGAAUGGCAUUUGGGACUGCAAGGCUUGGAGUGCGGGCAGAGGGGGAUGGAAUCCGCGUGUAGCAUGAAUGCGUAGAUAUGCGGAGGAACACCGAUGGCGAAGGCAAUCCCCUGGGCCUGCACUGACGCUCAUGCACGAAAGCGUGGGGAGCAAACAGG
rnacentral:rRNA from 1 species